rnacentral:rRNA from 1 species
AGUGAACGCUGGCGGUAGGCCUAACACAUGCAAGUCGAACGGCAGCACAGUAAGAGCUUGCUCUUACGGGUGGCGAGUGGCGGACGGGUGAGGAAUACAUCGGAAUCUACUUUUUCGUGGGGGAUAAUGUAGGGAAACUUACGCUAAUACCGCAUACGACCUACGGGUGAAAGCAGGGGAUCUUCGGACCUUGCGCGAUUGAAUGAGCCGAUGUCGGAUUAGCUAGUUGGCGGGGUAAAGGCCCACCAAGGCGACGAUCCGUAGCUGGUCUGAGAGGAUGAUCCGCCCCACUGGAACUGAGACACGGUCCAGACUCCUACGGGAGGCGGCAGUGGGGAAUAUUGGACAAUGGGCGCAAGCCUGAUCCAGCCAUACCGCGUGGGUGAAGAAGGCCUUCGGGUUGUAAAGCCCUUUUGUUGGGAAAGAAAAGCAGCAGGUUAAUACCCCGCUGUUCUGACGGUACCCAAAGAAUAAGCACCGGCUAACUUCGUG